CCUCCGAUGUCUAAACCAUGGUUACACCCUUGAUGUCCUGUGUACCGAAUGAACAAAUACUGUAUGUCAUUAAUACUUUUUGUAUUAGCAAACCAGCUAUUGUUUAUUCUAUGGCCUUUGGUGGGGAGUGUGUCUGUGGACAACGCGUAUCACUGCUGCCGUUGUUAUAAUGAACUGGCUGACUGAAGCCGCAACAGGACAAUGUCUGUAUUGAUGCAGACCAACACUGCAGAUUUACGGUGUAUGAGAGCCUCUGACAAACACAGUAUAUUUGUUGUACAGGAGGUGUACCACCAAAAACACACACAAAAUGUAUAACUGUGCUUAUUUCAAUCACCUGACAUUUGCUAGUAACUAACAUGAGGGAGGAGCAAAGCGCACCAGUGGCUAACCUUUCAGCUGUGAAUUAUGGGAAUUUACCUUCACGCCUCAGUGCGUUUGCCGCCGGUCUGCCUUUUGUGUCUAAAUCAAAGGCUGGGAUCUGCAACAUCGGCACUUUCCCCCUUUCUACAAGGGCACAUGCUGCACAAACGUCUGAUGACGGAUGACAUUUACAGCACGCCGAUUCUCGGACUGCCACUGCAAACAACAUGCACAAAUAAGCAGACAAAAACAGGCGCACACACGCCACCCAAAAACAAUGCUUGGAAGACAAAGCCAAGUCAUUUCUACUUUCAACAGUGAUUUCACACAAAUGUGUGUCUACUCAGAGUCUCUGAGUGCAGGUAUACAAUGUGUGCAUAUGACAUGAAAGCCUUUCAGACCAAACAGCAUUUCAUCUUCACCACAAGGUAUUUCAAAUUGAAUUGUUCAAUUUUAAUGGAUGCACAAGGUGCCGAGUGGGUUAUUUUGGAGACAUAGUAAUUUCUACCCUUAUUUUGUCCUACUUCAGGGAUAUGACGCCUGAUGUGUGUCUCACUUGGUGCAACAUUUGUGAGGGCACCAUCAGGUUCAGAUUUACACACUUGGCUCUCAUCUUGCUUCAAGCUUUAAGGUAUGUGGUUAUGGCUGUGGAAGCCCCAUACGAUGCUGGCCUCUUAUCUUCUCUUUAUCUAACCAUCUGUUGGUUCUAAGUAGCCAUUUGCACGGAUUUAGGCACAGCUGGUAAUGCAUCACAUCUGUAAGUGUCUUUGCCAUCGCUAGUUUCCAAUAGCGUAGAUUCUACGCCGUAGAAGGUACAUAAAAAAUCAAAUGUAACUGGGUGUAAAUCCUGUUCUAAGAAUUAGUCUGUCAUGAAUUGAGAUGAGCUUGGCGGGUCUCUGGUGUUUUAUAGUGUCUGAUGCUAUCUCCUGAUUGAACAGGGAGUGCAAAAAUCUGUCUCAAUGUGCCUCGAUGGAUUGGACAUCGUUGGAUAUAGAGUUUGUAAAAACGGUUUGUAGUUAACAGAACCGACAGUACUGACGGAAGACUUUUCAUGUGGAUUCAAUUGAGUGCUAUCUGCACCAAUACCAUGAUACUAUAGAAUGACUUACAGAAAGUCUGAGCAUACUAUAGAAAAAUAAAUUCACAAUACCAUAGGUAUUUAAAGUCCUGGUAGCAGUGUAAUUCUGACAUCAACAAUGAUGGUCAAUGGGUUGGUCCAUCACUGGUAAAAGACAUAAACAACUUUGGAAAAGAAUGCCAUUAAAUUCUCAAGACAUUUAUGUUCCCCUCAACAUGAAUUAGAUUUAAAUCCUUUUCCUUUUACGGAGUCUCACAUUUCCGGUUUCAUAACACAAUACCGCCAUUAUUAAAACAAAGAUUUUUUACGAGAGAAUGAAUCAGAUUGAAGAGCUUUUGUCGGAAGAAAUCCGUAAAUAUGACCACUUAUACAACUCGUCAUUGGCGGACUAUAAGGACGCUCGGAUGGCCUCUGAUUCAUGGAGGGAGAUCUCCGCAAACGUCGGUUUGCCGGUCGAGGGAGGUACAAAGUUGUGGAGGAAAAUACUUGAAAAAUAUGUCCGCGAUGAAUAACAACAGUGGUGAUGCACGGGACAAUAAAGUAUAUAGUAAAUAAAUUCUUCCACAUGCUUCUGCGUCUUUUCGCGCAGUCGGGUCGACGCACUCGUUUCAAUUCAUGGUUCUAAAAGUCUUGCGUAUGUUACAAAGCAAUUCACCGCCAGAACAAUAGGUGGAGUAACGCUUUUUGUCGAAGAAGACCUAGAGAGUCACGUCUUUUGUGUGUGGAAGUCGUUGGUUGGUUUGUUUGUUUAUUUAUUUAUCAUAGACGUUAUUCCCUCGUGCAUCGCCACUGCUGCUUUUUAUUGCCUUUUUUUCGGGAACAUAUUAGUCCCGUAUUUUCCUCGCGUUGCUGUAUCGCUGGAAGGCUUGUGGGGAGGGGGGAGCUGUGCUCAUGUGAUUGGUUGAAAAUCAGGCCGACAUCUGAUUGGCUACAGCUAGGUCCGUGUUGAAAUAAACUCACUGUUUCUGGUGGAUCUGCGACGCCGUUGCGUCGACGCACUCGUUUCAAUUCAUGAUUGCGUGUGUUGCAGAGCAAUUCACCUCCAGAACAACAGGCGGAGUAACGUGUUUUUGUCGAAGACGACCUAGAGAGUCACGUCUAUUUAUUUAUUUGUUUAUUUAUUUAUCAUAGAUUUUAUUGCCCCGUGCAUCGCCACUGCUGCUUUUCAUCGCGGACACAUUUGUCCCGUAUUUUCCUCCACAACUUUGUGCACCUCUCGACCGGCAAACCGGCGUCUGCGGCGAUCUCCCUCCGUGAAUCCAACCCGCUUAUGCAACCCGCCAAUGACGGCUUGUAGAAGCGGUCAUAUUUACGCAUUUCUUCCGACAAAAGUUCUUCAAUCUGAUCCGUUCUCUCGUAAACGUUCUUCGUUUUAAUAAUGGCGGUAUUGCGCUAUUAAAGCGGAAAUGUGAGACUCCGUAAAGGAUGUAGUUAGCAGACCAAUCACAGCCUUGUGCGCUGCGGAAAAAUGGGUCGACACACGCAAGGACGCAAGGAGGGGUGAAAAGGCACACAAGGGACACGCAAGGGGGUCUUGCGUCUGCGUCUUAAGACGAGUCUCCAAAAACCCACGCACAAAUGUGAAGCGAUCCGCCAACAUAAAUCGUAAUCUGCAAAUAAAUGCAGUGUGAUCCGCAAAUAUAAAUCAGAAUUUAUUCAUGUGUGCAUUGAAAUGUAUUUUUAAAUCCUUCUGUCGCAUUUGUGAGUCGUGCAUUUGCUGCGGGCUAAAUACAAAUAUGCUCAUUUCACCCUAAAAGAAAUAAAAAAAACAGAAGUCAUCCUUUUCUAAGCACAUCGAAGCUAACGGUUUGAUGUUUGUGAACAUGAUAGGUGAUCGAUCAAAAUAAUGAAAAUAAAGAAAACAUUAUUGAUCCACAUGUUUUUCUGAAAGUAUGUUUUGACGAUCAUGGUAAAAUGUGGUCUUAACUUAGGCCUAAAAGACCACUGGGAAAGCAACCUUAAAAUUUCUUCCCAUGUGGUUUUAGUGAGUAUAUGAUUAGAUCACAAUUAAUUGAAAGUGAUGUUGCGCUUUUGCAAUAUUACUAAAGGUCAUUCAUGAUGGAUAGUACCAAGAGAAGCUUUAAAUCUAAUGUGUAAUGCAGCACAGACAGGAAAGGCCGAUUGCAAGAAAGCUGCUCAAAAAGCAAGUAAAGGCAUAAAAGGAAAUUGUCCUUGAUAAAAGGGGCGGGGCUAAAGAAAGAAAACCACAAAAGCUGGCUGAAAUGAAGAGGGAAACAGAAAAAAGGGGAGAUUUUUUUCUUUCCUUCGAUAACUGUUAGGCUGCCUUGGGAAAGCAAGGCGACCGGUGAGCCUGACUUAGCAGAGCUUCCCGUCUCAGUCUCCCCACUCUACCAAGACAUGGCUCCCAUUUAUUAUUUUAACAGCUCAACAGGUAAUUUUCCAGCAAAAAUCCUGACUUGUGCACAUAUCUGCUUCUCUUCAGCAUGUAUUAUAAUUACUGAUGGCUCGCUUUGAUCUGAGGCCCCUUUGCAGCUAUGUAACUUCUCUUCCAAUCGCUUUUCAUCACGCCUUUUAGUACUGGUGUUAAUAGAACCAAACAUGACAGGAGAUAUAUCAGGCAGUAGAGUUUUCCCAACAUCCUACAGUGGGAAAUAGUGUUAUAACUGCACCUGUGAUGGGGUGGUGUGAGAAGUAAAGGGUCUUAAUUAGUGCUUCACCUCAUUAAAAGUUGGAACUAAAGGCUUCUGUUAAAAUUAAGUGCAUGUAUAAUUUUCGCCCGCCCUUAAAAUCAGUCUUGUGACAUGACUUAUUUGCUAGGGAAUGAUUGGCAAUACAGGAACUAAUGACUUGUGUUUUGAAGUCCUCUCUGUCAGUCCAGGGCAAAAGUGACAAAUCCUUUACCCGGAAUAUCUUUGCUCUUAGUGUCAUGCGCUUUGAAAAUCCAACGGUGACACCUUUUUGUUUUUUAUCCCCAGGCCUGUCUGGAAUAACAGGCUGAUCAAAAGCUUAACCUAAGUCAGAGUAUCAGCACAUUAUGUUCCCUGCGUAAUGUGGGGGAUGAAGCGGUUAGACCUUGUCUGUGAGAAUGUAAAGGCUUUGAGGAUGAAUUCCUCUCCAUACUUAUCUUGUUCUUAUGUCAUUAGCGCUCUGCUUGCUCUAUUCAGUCCUCAGCCUGCGAGCUGGACUGUCAUUGUCUCUGCACAGUGUCCACGGUCUUUAGCCAAGGCAGGAUGUCAGGGAAGAGCUUUUUGUCAAGCGAGGUGAACAGUUUCCAGCUUAUCUCACGGGGACAGCGGCGUUACGGAGCGCACAUGCCGCAUAUGGUGGGUUGUGACCUCCAACCCCCCACUACCCUACCUCCGUCUUGCUGUGCACCCAUUAAGGCAAAGUUAAUUAAACCACAACUCAUUGCCUCAGCAGGAGGGGAUAGGGAAAAAGGAGGUUCCAAGGGGGGUUGCACAAUUAUACAUUGGCAUUCACUUACCAUUUUCAACGUAAAGUGCUCAGCCGGCGGUCACUCAUCAAUAUACAUGUUUCAGUCUUACCGCCAUGUCGCCCAAGUUCAGCGCUCUUAGAAGGAAGUCAGCGAGCCCUGCUUUGGACUUCUUCUUUGGUCCAUCUUAUAUCUUAUAUCUAAGAAUCUGCAAAGUAAAGUAGUAAGAGAUGAUGGCAAAUGUAGAAUGUCGCGGGGAGAGCCAUUUCCUUUACAAAUGACAUGUAAAGGGAUGAACUGUGCCCAGCUCCCUAUCAGUCCAAACAAAGUUGUGAGUUUGGGAGGCGGGGUGUAGGCUUCAGCAUUACAGCGCCACGCCGAGACUAUUGUUCCUCUCUUGCCCCCUCUUCAGUCGUCAGAUAUGCAAGCCUGCCUUUACCUGCUGUGAUUUCCAUUACCCUGGCUGCCUGUUCCGGCACUCAAAUGUUUCUGUAGCAUAUUAAACAGAUUAAUAGAACAAUGCUCCAGGGAGAGAGCAGCCUGUCAAUCUCAGCUAAAAACACAAAAGCAGAAAAUUAAAAAGGCCCAUGGCUGAACUCCAUCACUGAUGAAAAAAAGAGUGCCGUAAUUUUCUGGGGUGGAGAGAGAGGGGGGGGGGGGGGAAACACCACAGAUGGUAAAUAUUUAUUCUCUGAUCCUGCUUACAGAACACAUGUGUGCGCAGAGACACACACACAAAUAGAUGGGCCACUGUGGUAGAAAUGACAAUGAUGGAAAUUAGCUCUAAACUGAUCAAAGAAUAUAGAGGCAAAUACAGAGCGCUUUUUUCCUUUUGUGUAACUAUCUCUAUAUUGGGGAUCACAUAUAAGAACUCCAAUCCAGAAAACGCGCUCCUGCUCUCUGAAGAUGCUGCAUUUCAUACCAGAUGGACUUUCUUUUGUUUGUCAGUAAAUUCCCAGUGUUGACAAGAUGUAAAAUCUAAAGCGAAUCAAGAGCGUUCCCGCAAUACAGGCAACGCCUUCGCUCCCGUAUGGGGAGAAAUAUCUGAGGCAUGCAUCUAUAGGGCCGCAGCAGGAGGCGUAGUAAGGGAAGUAUCCUCCAGUGAUGUCCGCUUUCAUCCUGGGAGACUCUAAAGGAAAAUUCAAUCUGGUCGUCUGCUUGCAGAGAUAUUGGGAGAUUGAGUGAGGUCUGAAGACAUUGGCGAGGGGCUCUGCUCCGUCUUCAUAUUCAUGCUUGUGUUGCUCGAGGGUAAAUAAAGGCUGAGAAACAAGGUCUGCAUCACAAAAACAGAAAAUAAGGUUUAAUACAGUACAUAUUACAAAGUGUCGACGCAUCAGAAUAAAACAGCAGCCAUAACCCAGCACAUAUCUUUUAUGCGACAAUUAUAUGAAUAUUACAUAUCGGACCAAAACUGCCACAAGCUCAGGUCCUGUACAAUUAUGCCGAUUGAGAUUUUAGUUUGAAGAAAUGGUUUGGAACAAUUUAGCUGUUUCGGAUAAGCAUAAAAAUAGAUUAAUGUUUGUGUUUAAAAAAUGCAAUGAAUGCCAUAUCUGCAGAUAUUUAACAUUAUUUUUUUUUCUCAAAGUAAUUUUGACUCAUUAGCUUUAUUUCAAAGCUUUAAACAAUUAAUUUCACUGCAUUCAUCAACAACAAAAUAAUUGUUGUUGUUUAGUCACCAGAUUUUUUCAUUUUUGGCUUUUUUCCAAAGCACUGCAUUUGCGCAUUGGCAAAAAGAGUUUCCAAUUGUUUUCUCCCAGCAACUGUCCCAUUCUGAAAAAUAUUUGAAUAGAAAAAAAAGAUAUUUCUUUGUAAUUACAUAGUAAUUUAGUAAUAGUAAUUAGUAAUUUUUUAGUAAUUUAGAUAUUUGGCAAAUAUCAACUGCAAAUAAAAGUUAUAAAUAUGACAUCAUUUGACUUAAAUAAUAGUGGAAUUGUUUUUGUGCAACAAUAAGCUACCUCUUCUUUUGCGAGCCCAACAUCUCGCAGUUGCAUGCUGAGAACAUCCUGGUUAGUGGCCCAAUGUGCCUUUUAAACACUAAACUGUACUCCCAUCGUUCAAAACAGAGUAAACAUACUUCCUCUAUUCAUCAUGAGAUUUUUGUCUCAUAAGAAAAUGGGUCUUCUAAUCUUUAUCUAUCCAACAAUGACAGAAUAAAGAGUUAACGCUACCGUCAGCCAAACUCCGGUUGCUCUCUGUGCCGGAACACUGCAAAUCAUCUUUAAUAGUUGUCAUCUUGAUGGUUCAUUACGUUAAACUAUCUCUGCAAGCAUCCUCUAAUCCAAUGGCUCUCCAUGGCCCGAGGGGCUGUGAGCUCAGGGAAGGAGAUGGCUGUGUGUGGGUAUGGGGAGGGGGAUUUUGUGUUAUUAGCAGGUUAAUUGCCCCUGUGCAAAAGAGUGACCGGAAAGCAAUAGGAUGCCAUUUUAGUUUAAUUUUUAGUAGUCCUGUACUGUAAGCCCCAAGUUUUGCAUCAGAGGCUAGCAGCUGUGUCAUACUUAUAUACAAUAUAUAAUGCAUAUCAUCAUGGGCUGGUGUCAAAGAGAGGAGCUGGCAUACAGCGCCACCUAAUGGGGGCAGAAGGGGACUACAUGUUGGCAGUGAGCGGCAGCUGAUCUGCGGAUAUAGAGAUGAUCAGUUUGAAAAGGAUGCCUUUCUUUCUUUGCAUUCGGUCCUGUUCUUUAACAUGACAUGUUUUUGUGUUGAUUUUUCAUUGCAGUCUAGUGUUUCUGUUUAUUUCAUUCAGCUGCUGUAUAUAAAUUAUCUAGGCUUGUUCCAUCUGGGAUGUUGGGAAGGAUCACCUGCUCAAUCAUAGAGAGUUAUACCAGGUUUGCUGAUAGCAGGCAGGGGCUUGGCUCUGCUAACAUUCUAGGAUGAUAGUUCUGCAGGAAAUUUAAUUAUAUAAUAUUUAUUGUGCUUGUAUCUGUAUGGUCCCCAUAUAUAGAUUCAGAUGUAACAGUUACUCAGAGAUAUCUUUUUGUGACGUGGAUGCAAGCUCACCCGACUCUUACCUGGGCAGGUGGGACCUUUGAGUUAGAGAAGGCUGAGUGGGUAAAAUCUAAAUGUUUUGACUGUAGCAUUAUUGAAAUUCCUGGGGUCAAUUUUUGCUCUCAGUUUCAUUUAAAUAUGUUUUUUAAUAAACGUAGAAAGAUGUUUUCUACAGGCUAUAGCAUGAGUUGGGUGAAAUCUUCAUCAUUAUGUUAAAUACAGUGUUGCCGCACAUCUCACAGAAGAUAAACCCAAAUAAUUCACUGACGGAAAAUUAGCGUAUUUUACAUGUAACAACACUCUGUAAUAACCAAAUGCUAUACAUUCAGAAUGUUAAAGAUGUAUCAGCAUCUUAACAUGAUAUUAUCAAGUCACACUUGAGAAUAUACCCUUUCACAAUUAUUCCUAAUUAUAGAAAUCUUGUAAUCUACUACUGUAACUAAAAACACAGUAUUCCCUCUUAAAUCUAGUGAAAUCAAAAAGUGUAUAUAGUUACAUAAAAUUUAAAUAGAAAUCAUGUUACCUCAAACAAGAACAAAUACUAAAGUAUUUACAACGUUACAUGCCUUUGAUACCUAACUAUCCAUGAUAAGUAGUAAAGUUGAUUUACACUUACUCUCUUGUUUUCACAAUUUAUUUUUCCAUUUCAGUGGAAAAUAUUUUGUUUUAUUUAGACAUUACACACAUGUACACAUACAUGGAGAGUAUUAUGGUUAAAGGUUUCGCACGAUUUCAACAUGGUAAUAAAAUGAAUCGCUGAGUCACAAGAUAAACUGCAACUGACACAUUCAAGUAGAGACAUCAGCUCUAAAAGAGAACCUAUUGUAGCUUUCAUAAUUCAGGUGUGAGUCUAGAUUGAGCAGUUACAUUUUGUGAAAUGGCAUAGGGGAGAGAGCCCAGAUCGAGAAGUGUUUUAUUUUACAGUUAAUGAAUGGAUAAUUGUAGUUAAAGAAAUAUCAUGAAUGAAGUCAACUUUCUUCCAGAUCACUUCAAAGGGUUUGGUGUUUCUAAAUUAGAAACGGCUCAUCUCCAAAGUAUCUAAAGAAGGUACAAUUGCAAGCAACGUGGUUUUAAAGCUUUUGUCCUUCAUGUCUUUGUAGUGAAGAGAGAAUUUGUCUUCUCUGAAUACUAUUGGGUGAUAACCAAUAAAAAUGAAUUUUCAUGUUCUCUUGAAUAUUAUAAAGGUCGGGUUAUCUGAUGUAGAUGUCAGACGGAUAGAGGUUGAGCGUUUAUUACAGUGUUUCCCCUAGGUUUACAACCUUGCUUGAGCGAACAGACCGGCCGACGGGGGAGGGGUGGAGGGAGACACUCUCUGCCCGCUGGUGCAAUCAUACGCACAUAUCCGUGUAUGCACGAACAUGUCUGGUUGGAACUGCUGUGCGCAGCAAGGAGUGGACAAUUGUAAAAAAAAUCCAGACUUUCUUGAAGAGAGGGAGGGUGAUUAGAGGGGUGGGAACACACUAUUAUGCAUUAAGCAUUCCAAGUAUUGUUCUUCGAAUCUUUAUUGUUGGAAUGCAUUAAGCAUUCCAAGUAUUGUUCUUCGAAUCUUUAUUGUUGGAAUGCAUUAAGCAUUCCAAGUAUUGUUCUUCGAAUCUUUAUUAAACUUAUUCUAUUUCUUCCGUGGCACCUUUCAACUCCUUCACACUUUCAGCUAUUAAAACUGUUCAAAUAUUAACAUAUUCAGCUCCUUUCUGGCUUGAGGGCUAUGACUUUUCAGCUUUCCACCUCUUAAGCUUGACUUUAUAUAAAUCAAUAAUCAUUAAUAUUUUAACAUGGUUUUCAAAUGGAGUUUGUUUUCCAAAUCCUCUUAAACUUCUUCAAAUUUCAGACUUUUCAGCUCCUCUCAGCUCUUUUACAUGGGUGUGUAUUGCGUCUGCUAGAGGGCGACCUCGAGGGCUAGAGUGUGGCGCAGCGUCAGAAUCUGGUUAAAAAAAGAUGGAACUUCUGUCCUUGCAGCCAAAGUAUACACUUUUGAGGCUUCAUUUCUUCAGAUCAAUGAGGGCAUGGUUGUGCUGAUUGGAUUAAUGUGUUCAUGGAAUCCCAGAGUUCUUUAAGGAUUAAGGAGUGAUAGAGUGACACAACCUCUACCAAAAGCCCCAUAGGCUCCAAUACAAAUCUGCCGACAUAUUUCUCAAAAAAUCCAGAAGGUACACGUUUUGUAAACUGCGAUAGGAGCCGUAUUUAUUACCGGACAGACAUAAAAAUCACAUCAUGCGUUCGGUAGAGUCUUGGGUCUCGCACAAACGUCUUAUUUUUUUAGAUAGCUGUUAUAGUUUUGCGCUAGUGGACACUUGUUUGAGGUGUGGAUUCUGUGUAACUCACUGUCCUGUCUCUGCCAUUUCAGUAGCUCGUUAAUGAACCCAGGUGCGCCGUUGCCGUGGUUACUCACACACACGCUGCAGUAUCUCUGUCUGUGACUCGCAGCUGCUCCUAUUACCUGAUUAGUGGAGUCACAUGACACAGCUAUGCUUUCUGUCAACAGACCAACAUGAUGAAGACACUAACCCCUCCUCCACCCUGACCUCUUCUCACUGUUAAUCACUCACUCAGUCAGUCUGUCUGUCUAUUUCUCCUCUCUCUCCCUCACCACCCCUCCCUUCCUCACCUCUCACCCUUCCUCCCUCUAUCUACACCCCCCCACCCCACCCAAUCCAAUAAUUUCAAAAUAAAAGCCCCAUGGAGGGAAUUUUUACUGUAAUGUUUGUGAUGAGGCCUAUUGAUUAAAAACUUCUUAGUUUGAAUAACAAACAUUGAUCAAUCAAUGAUUAUCUGUACCUUAACCAUGAAGAUCAGAAUGAAGCGGUUUCAUUGAAAUACGUAUUGCUCUUUCAAAUACUACUACAACCACUAAGAAUAUUACUAGUACUUCUAGUAGUACUACAACUGAUACUUCUACUACCAUACUACUAGUAUUUCUACUGCUAUUAAUACUACAACUACUACUAAUGUUAUUCCAAAUACUACUACGGCUAAUAGUAUUAGUAUUACAGCUGUUUCUACUGCUAUUGAUACUAAACCUACUUCUACAGCUAGUACUACUAAUACCACAAUUACAACUAUAACUAAUACUAAUAUUACUACAAACAAUUUAAAACCUCUUUUAAUCUUUUACUGAGUCAAUGCAGGAAAUGCAUUUUCUAGUGUAUUAAUGACAAUCUCUAUGAUCUCUAAAUCAGCUUUUCAGUCAAAUUGUGAUCAGCAACUCUUCUAACUCUUCAUUGAGUCCCUAUGGUUAAAUGCAACUCUGUUGAGUUAUUCUUCUGGGUAGAGAAGAGUUAGAGUUGGGUAAAGUUUGUAUGACACAUUGGGCCUCAUGUACUUGCUUUUGCGCCCACUUCAGGUGUAUUUGUUCCGCAAUGUGCAAGCAUGGCGAGGUCUGUACAAACAAAAGGCAAAUUGCGCUUUUUUUGUCAUGCAUAUACAUUCACGGGAGGGUCAAUUCGAAAAUUUCCCAUAAAGAGAGGGGAGGGAUGUGUAAAGUGCGCCUAAUUAUUAUUUGCCGGUAUGUACAGAAACCACCCAUGGACUACGCACUGGUCAAUACAUACAUUUCCACACCACUGAUGCCGAAAUAACAUAUCAACUUAGUUGUUGCUGAAAUUUCGCUUUCGCAGUGACUUUGGCUGAUCCAUGAUAUAAAGACUUGCACGUUUAAAUGCUCGCAAUGUACGGUAUAGUGGGUAGAGAAAGGCACAUUCUUCUCCCUGUGGUUUGCCGGCUCCCUGGAUCAUCUCUCAGUAUCCGGGUCAGGCCCUGUCUGUUUUCAUUUUCCUCCUGUAGGCCAAGUAAUUUCGGGGAGAGAGAGGGAGAGCAGAUGACCAAUGGCUCCUGACCUUUUCUCCCUCAAUUUAACUUCUUGCCGCUGUGCCCGCUGAAUGUGGCAAUCAAGCUAGGCAGAAGUGACACCCCCAUCUAAGCAUUGCCUUGCCCCACACACAAUCACGGUGUCACUUUCCAUCCAUACGCAGGGCCGCAGGCAAGUGGUAGAGCUGGGAUAGGGGACUGUGGAGAUGAGGGAGGAGGGGACUCCUAGCUAGAUCCCUGUUAGCAUACUUGGUUGUGUGGUGCUACCAGUCAUGCUAGUAAGCCAUCUAUAAUAUUUAUAUUUUAGCUAGAAUAUUUAUCUUCUACGUAUUUUUGCAAUUUGGAUAUUUUUUUCUCUUUUCAGCCUUGUGUAUGAUAAGUUUUGAUCCCAUUAGCUCUCAUGCUACAUAGGACUUUAGCUUCUCUUCCAACUUCACCAGCAGAGGAUCCUUUCCUUCAUCCACUAGUACUGGAUAAGAGCAUGCAACACCAUAGUUUAAACAUGCUGGGUGAACAAUAAGCCAUACAGAAGCAAAAAGAGAGUAAAUCAUAGAUAUCAGAUAUUAUUUCACGGACCUGCUUAAUAUGAGGCAGCUUCAUGUCUGUAAGCGUCAAGUCAUUAUAACCAGCGUAAGCCAGUGUGAAAUACCUUGAAAUGAAGAAAGCCAAGGAACAUGUGUAGGAACAUGAGUUGCCAUGUAAUAGACUGACUAAGAAGCAAGGGUGAGAGUGGAGGAACAUAGGAUAAGAGAGGCAUGGUCAGUCCCAUGACGGAACAAAGGAUGGAGAGGUGGAGACAAAGUGCGCGAAUGCUGUGGAUUAUAGGUGUUGAUAGCAUGGAAAUUCAAAAGAGAAGCAUUCCACUUGCACCUUUUGCAAUCAGCUAGGGAAAAAUAAAAUGGAAAAAAAGCUUGAAAAAAUAAAGUGAACAAAUGAAUGAAAAUGUUUAAAAAGACUGUGUGUUCUAAAUAUAUGAAUAAAUGGGGGGAGGGGAGUUCUGUCUCGGCUGGGCUGGUGCCAGGCCCAAAAUUGGCAGGUCUAAAAAGCAGGUUAGCGAAGAUAAAUAAGUGACAUAAUUUCAGCGUCCUAAAACCGAUUCAGCCUAGGGUUAGACUCGCGAAGCGCUGUUUUAACAACAUGACAAGGCGAGCAUGAGCAGUAUCCUUUAAGAAGACCCAACCCGAACACGGUACAUUCUCUCCUCCAAGACCUGUUUAUGGGAGAACGUGGAGGUUAUAAAACUGGGCCCAGAUCAACCUGACCUGGCGGUGAGGAAACACACGUGUAGGUGGAUGAAAACAGGCACAUUAUAUCCAAAAUAAUUGAUUGUGUGAUGUUUUGUGGGGAUUUUGAGUUGGUCUUGAACACACUGAUUUCCCCAACCAACUAGGUUCCUAAGGGCAUCUUGACCUACACAUACAUGUUCUAUUAGAUUUCAUAUUAAUAUAUUUAUCCUUUAAAUAUAUGUAUUAUAUGAUAUUCAUGAUAUUUAUAUUGUACAUUUUAGAAAUAUUUAACUGCAAAGUAAUAAAGCGUGUUUGAUACUUUUUUUUCAUUGAAUCAUACUGGGAUGUUUGCUGAAAUUAAUUGGCUGGCCCUACCAACAAAAAAAAAUCCACCACCCGCCACUGAUCAGUAUAGUCUCAGACAAAGACAAAAAGCACAUUCAAAAGGUAAAGUACAGAAAUGAAUUACAUGAACAUAUCAAUUAAACUGAUUUCUCCCCUUGUAUCUCACAUCCUACCUCCUUCAGAAAGAAGGCUUUGAACUCAUACUGCUCUUCAAAAUCUUCUUUUGCGUGCACUGUAUUUCUGUCUCAUUCUCCCAGUCGCCCCCGCCUUUCAGCUUAUGGAAUAAUUAAUGAAACUUUUGAUGUAAAACAAAUAAUGAAGUUAGUCCGCUGUGGUGCUUUCAUGUAAAUCAUCUUUAGGAGCGAGGAGAGGGUAAACAUAAAAAAGAUCAAAGACUUACUUAAAUCUAAGCAUUAAAAAAGGAAAAGAAAACACAUUCAAAAAGUAUUGUGAAAUGAAACAAACCCCAGAUAACCGAGAGUUCAUGAGAGCCUUGUCUCUGUGAAGUGAAGAGAAACCUGAAAGUUAACGUUUUGUUGAACAAAAUACAACAAUGUAUUCAAAAUAAAAAUAAGUGGACGGAAAAUAUUUUCGGGAUGAAUAUAGUUUUGACAGCUCUAUAUUUUUUUUCAAUCUUCACCUAUAUAUAUUUUUUGAUAUUCACUUUAUUAUAUUUUUCGGUUGCACAUUUUAUAUUUUCAGAUUCAAAACUUCACUUUUUCAGAUUUUUUUUUCGUGUUCCGAUCUUUUUUUUUCAGAUUCAGACUUUUGACCCUGAUGUGGCGUAGAGGGCGGAUCAUCAACUGGGAGGGGCGUGUCAUCAUGAGUGACAGCUUAACAAAUAAGGCUGAGGAAAGAUUCGGACCCGGUGUUCUAUCAUUUUCUGCUACUUGUCGAGAACUGCUACUUUGUGGUAUUGUGCAUGCGCCGAGUCGAAGCAGUUUUCUUGAAACGCCCAUAAUAUUUUGCAACCCUGUCGGUGAACGACGUGUUAACUGUGAGUAACAUCCUCAAAAUCCCGAUUUAUUUCCUCUUUUGGCCAAGUUAAAAAGUACAUUGAGCAUGUAGAUUGUAUAAGGACUGUUCUCUUGAAAUUAAAUAUUAAAUAAUUGCAUGGACUGUGUAUCCUUGCCUCCGUCUACUGUGUCGUAUUAUCCGUAGUCCGUUUUCCAUUUGCAGAAACACGUUGAGUAACAUCCACAAAAAAAACCUUUCAUCGCGCUUUUGGCUUAUUUAAGAUAAAUAGCAUAUAGCUUAAACCACACUGGUUUAGCUCUUGAAGUUAAAUUUGGAAUAGUUGCAUGUAGCUUACUGUGUCGCAGGGACAUGUACAUAAUUUUAGAGGGGCAGAGGCUCAAAGUGUGGUCUCAAACAUACUGCCCAAUUGGUUUUUCAGGUAGUAAUAACAUGUAGAUUAAUGUAGCAUUUUUUGAUAGGGUAGCAUGAAUCGAUAGACAGAGCCAUCGAUUUAUGCGGCCGUAGCAAUUCUCGACAAAGCAGCAAAAAUCGACAAAACACGGGUUCAACAGCUCGUCAGCAAAGCGUCUCUGUAACCGCAGUGAUGUAGACAACCAGCUACAACCUUCUAAGCAUAAUUUUACGAAAACGGACUGGUCUGCGAGCUGGACGAACCACAUUGAUCUUAAUGUGCAGCCGGGGCCGUCUGCAAAGCGACAUCACCAUGGUUACAGAGAGGUGUCGUUUGUGUUUCAAUAAUGUUUCGCUGACCAGCUAUUAAACCAAGUCCAAAUCUGUGAAUAUCUUUUCAACCCUACCGAACUCAGAGUCCAUCGCACGGAUGCUGCGCUGAAUUCACAGUUGUUUGUGGAAGUGGGAAACAGAGAUUCACGUGUGGUUGAUUAAUGGUUCAUUCUGAGAUAGUUAACUGGUCUUCUUCUGCGAUUUAUGUCAAGUAGGAUCCAAAACAGCUCGCUAAACAGAACUUUGUCUCUGGCGUCAAUGGUUUUACAUCCAAUCUUAAAUGUAGUAAGGAGAAAGGGUUCUUAAUUAAGUCUUGCGUGCCUACGUCUCCUCAAGGCAAUGCGGUUGAGGAAGCUGUCACUCACGAUGACACGCCCCUCCCAGUUGAUGCCCCGCCCCCUAUGCCACAUCAGGGUCAAUAGUCAAUGUGGGAAAAAAAAGAUCCGUGAAAAAAAGAUCUGAAAGUGAAAAUAUAAGUUUUGAAUCUGAAAAUAUAAAAUCUGCAGCUGAAAAAUAUAAUGGAGUGAAUAUCAAAAAAUAUAUGUAUAAGUGAAGAUUGAAAAAAAAAAAAGUAUUCAAAAAGAAUAUGGAGCUGAGUCAAAACUAUAUUCAUCCCGAAAAUAUUUUUUGUCCACUUAUUUUUAUUUUGAAUACAUUGUUGUAUUUUUCAAUGUUCAACAACAAAACGUUAACUUUUCGGGUUCACAUUUGUUUUUCAAAUGAACAAAACGUUUGACCUGGAUUUGGCUCCAUAGUGCUGCAGAUGCACCUGACUCCCGCACCAACCUUGUCUUAACUAGGGAACAAGGACGGUAACAUGAAGGCAUAUGAAAUUCACUUGAAUGGACCCUGAGGAAGGAAAGGGGACAUUGGCAACUACAGUGGCUCAACAUGAAAUUAUGUGGAAUUAAAGCUGCUAUGUAACUUGUGAGUGUGUCUACUUUGGUGCAACAAAUGAUCCUGGCUGUGGCUGACGGGCAUCAUACAUUUGGGUAGCUGACAUAUUUAUGAAUUGCAAAGUUUUGAUUUUCAGUCUCAUUCCAGCUACUGGCCUCAGUCACCUUUUUUGUAUUACAUUGCCAU
ensembl:lncRNA